GAUGAACGCUGGCGGCGUGCCUAAUACAUGCAAGUCGAGCGCGAGAAUGAGGAGCUUGCUCCUCAUGAUCGAGCGGCGGACGGGUGAGUAACACGUAGGCAACCUACCCUUGAGAUUGGGAUAACUACCGGAAACGGUAGCUAAUACCGGAUACGACUUUUCCACAUAAGUGGAAUUGUUAAAAGGCGGAUUUAUCUGCCGCUCAUGGAUGGGCCUGCGGUGCAUUAGCUAGUUGGUGAGGUAGCGGCUCACCAAGGCGACGAUGCAUAGCCGACCUGAGAGGGUGAUCGGCCACACUGGGACUGAGACACGGCCCAGACUCCUACGGGAGGCAGCAGUAGGGAAUCUUCCGCAAUGGACGCAAGUCUGACGGAGCAACGCCGCGUGAGUGAUGAAGGGUUUCGGCUCGUAAAACUCUGUUGUUAAGGAAGAACACUUGAGGUAGUAACUGGCCUUGAGAUGACGGUACUUAACCAGAAAGCCACGGCUAACUACGUGCCAGCCGCCGCAUAA
rnacentral:rRNA from 1 species